rnacentral:rRNA from 1 species
AUGAAAGAACACUUUGAUGUUCGCAACGUGAGUGGAAUUGACCGCUCCGAGAGAUCACUUCGGUCCCGGUGGUCGACAAUCAACUCGGAUUGUCAAAGGUGGGUGGCCUGUCAAAAGGCGGUUGACAAGUUGAACCCAAGUGGCACAAAUGAGGACGAUAGAGUAAGUGAGGAGAGGAAAACCAAGAAGGGGAAGAUCAAGAAAGGAAGGAUCUUUACCUUUCCUCGUUGCUAUGAAGUGUUGAAGGAUGAUGAGAAAUGGAAGAAGCGUGAAGAUUUGGAUGAUUUGCUUUUGAGCAACAAACGCAAGCGAACAAUUGAGUUGAAUGAUGAUGAUGAUGAUGAGGAUGAUGCAUCAAGUGAUGACGGCAAGAGAAGCCCCACACCCAACUCGGUUUCAUACUCAAAGCCAAAACGACCGGAUGGGUGCAAGAAAUACAAAGCAGAAAAGAAGAAGAGGAAAGGAGAUGAUGAGAUCAAAAAUGCUAUGGAAGCAAUUGUCAACGCAAGAAGAGAAGCCAACAAGGUGAGGAAAGUGGCAAGGAACCAAGAUGCCGCGGCCGAUGAGAGGAGGUUGGCAGCCGAGGAGAGGAGGGUGGAGCGAACUAGAUUGUUGGAAUGGGAGAAGCACUUGUUUUUCUUGGACACAUCUAACCUCAAUGAGGUGCAAAAGGAGUUUGUCAAUCUUUUCCGUGAAGAAGUGUUG